rnacentral:lncRNA from 1 species
GUCUCUCCAAUAUUUAAAGGGCAAAGUUUGAAAAUUUCAAAACUUUCAAAGUUAGGAGUAUGAAGAUGUGAGAUGAUGCCAAAAAAGGCAGAAAUGAAGGAAAGUAAAGAUAAGACAAUGGGAGAGGGAAAAAUCUGUAGGAAAACAAAAAGGCAUAAAGAGAAAACAAAGGAUGGGAGGAUUACAUUCCUAAUAGAACCUGAGGCUCCCUGUGUGUGCAAUCUCAUGAAAUAAAAAUUUAGAAAUAAUCUGGGCAGACUGCUGAUUUUAUUCCAGAGCUAGUCUGGGGUAGAACCCAGCUGUUUGGGGCCGGUACUGGGGUGGAGACCUGUGCAAAUGCUCUCUGUUCUUAAGCUAAGGUUUAUAGCUUAAAGAUGUAAAACAGAGAACUAAAAGAGCAGGCUAAAGGUUCAUCUAAUUCAGCAUCCUUUUUCUAAAAGCAGUUGGCCAGAUGCUUCUGGGAAACAAUAAGGAGGACCGAAAGGCAACACCUGUCAUGGCCAAUAAGGCCUUAUCCCAGAAGCAAGAUUCUGAACGACUCAUACUGGAAUGGUUAUAAACAUAUAUGCCAUUCAGCUGGCUUUGCAUUUUAUUCUUCUGUCUUCAUCCUCUUCCUCUAUGAAUACCAAAGCCUUAAAUGUAAGCCCUUGGAAUAUAAGCAUCGUAAAGCCUCAUUUUCUUCUAAUAUAUGUUCAAUAACAUUUUACAUUUCAUCAUAAAACCUUUUGCUUAAGCCUAUUUGCUGUAAGCAGGGAUGUUUGCAAAACCAUGUUGAUUUAAAGAAAGAGGGCAUGCAACACUGACUACGGUCCCAUCUUUUUAUGCUGCUUCUUGAUUAGCAGGGUGAUGUCAGUAAAGCAGCUCUGUAUAUAUAAAGUAGGACGCAUGAUCUAAUUUCUCCCCAUCACUAGUUAAAGGACCUGGAAACAAAUAAAAGCCAAUAGAUCAUGAUCAGAAACAUACAAGGUCACACCAUUUCAAUUUUGAUUAGAUAAUACAGAAUUAGCUACCAUCCUAGGUAUAAUAUACUUAGACAUGUUGAAGCAGCUGUGGCGUUGCUAGGCAGAGGUCUGUGCCUCUUGUGGGUCCUCUAGCUCUAGCUCUGAAACCUGAUUUACUUAUUUUUUUUAAAUCCCUGCUGUAAAUAACUGUUGACAGAUGACUCCAGCCUUUAGUUCUCUCUGGCGUUACAAUUGCAUGAACUGUGUGCGCGCGUGUAUGCGGAGAGAAUAAAAGCAUAAAUAAACUUUGGAAUUGUAGGAGAAUUGAUUGAAGGAAGUGGCUAAACAAUAUUAUUUGGAACUUAAGUUCCUGAUUAUGAGAAGAGGCUGGGACUUCCCAAAGGGAGAACAGCCUCACCCAAUCUCUCCUAAAACCCUGAGACAUAGGACUCUGAAGGAACUGAAGUUGCUGAAGGUUAAUGGACCCUCUUAAAGGCAAAGUAAACUGAAACACCUGCCUUGUGUGUUCAGAACAGCAAGUCAUGGCAGAAGACAGGAGCAGAUGGAAACGAUAUGGAGAAGCACUCCCUGUUCUGUCCUUCAUAUCCUCCAUCCCCACUCUUUGUAGAACCAGGACAUUCUUCUAUACUAGGCAAAACCAAAGUUAUAAAUCUCUUGCAAUAGCUCCUGGGAAUGCCUUCCCCCAUUUGUUUGACCAUGGCCAGUACUGAUACUUUAGAAAGCAAUUGUAGCUAGUUUGGUUCAAUGUCUAAGCAGCUGCACUUUGAUCCAAGAGACAUUGGUUUGAGUCUUGCCAGCUGUGGAGUCACUGGGCAAACUCAUAUACCUACAGCAAUAUAAUUGCUGCUGAAAAUUGCUUCAGCAGAGUUUAGUUCAUUAAAUUUCCUAGACAGUUUUUUUUUUAAAGAAUGACUAAAGGCAUUGUACAACAAAUUGAGAUAUAC